rnacentral:rRNA from 1 species
GAUGAACGCUGGCGGUCUGCUUAACACAUGCAAGUCGAACGGGCUCUUCGGAGCUAGUGGCGGACGGGUGAGUAACGCGUGAGGAUCUGCCCUUAGGACGGGGACAACAGCUGGAAACGGCUGCUAAUACCCGAUGUGCCGAGAGGUGAAACUAUUUGGCCUGAGGAUGAGCUCGCGUCUGAUUAGCUAGUUGGAGUGGUAACGGCACACCAAGGCGACGAUCAGUAGCUGGUCUGAGAGGAUGAUCAGCCACACUGGGACUGAGACACGGCCCAGACUCCUACGGGAGGCAGCAGUGGGGAAUUUUCCGCAAUGGGCGAAAGCCUGACGGAGCAAGACCGCGUGCGGGAGGAAGGUCUAUUGAUUGUAAACCGCUUUUGAUAGGGAAGAAGAUCUGACGGUACCUAUCGAAUCAGCAUCGGCUAACUCCGUGCCAGCAGCCGCGGUAAUACGGGGGAUGCAAGCGUUAUCCGGAAUUAUUGGGCGUAAAGCGUCCGUAGGUGGUUUUAAAAGUCUGUUGUCAAAUCGCGAGGCUUAACCUCGUACAGGCAGUGGAAACUAUAAGACUAGAGUGCGGUAGGGGUAGAGGGAAUUUCCAGUGUAGCGGUGAAAUGCGUAGAUAUUGGAAAGAACACCGGUGGCGAAGGCGCUCUACUGGGCCUGCACUGACACUGAGGGACGAAAGCUAGGGGAGCGAAUGGGAUUAGAUACCCCAGUAGUCCUAGCCGUAAACGAUGGAUACUAGGUGUUGUCUG